rnacentral:lncRNA from 10 species
GGAGUGUGGGCUCGGCGGUCCUGCGGGCCUCUCCGGCGCGGGGGAGUCCUGGGAAGACGCGCGAGCCACAACUUCAGGGGGCGUGGCGGGAACGGGAGCCCCUACCGAAUGGGGUGGCAGAAGAACGAAGGCGACACCAAGCUGGCCCCUUGCGGGGGUCGGGACGGCGGGAGACCUCAUCCGGAGCCCUGGGCCCGCAGAGCCAGGAGACCGCGCCAAAAUACAUCAGGGAAGAGGGGAGGACGGAAUAAUGGGCCUGGGGACAAAGGAACCCACUGAAAGGGAACCCACUGAGGGUACGGAUUGCACCCGAGCCUGAGACAGCUGAAGGUUUGCAGUCGGUGACGUGGCGAGGUGGGCAAGGGACUCCAACUCCCAGCGGGCCCCGCGCGGCCUGGGCGGGGCCAGCUGUCCCUGGAGGCUCCGCCCAUUAGCCCCGGCGCCCAGGCUCCGCCCGCCGUCCCUGGCGACUCCAAGCUUCUCGCCACUCACGUCGCUCCCCGGCCUUCCGUGGAUUCGCUCAUUCGCUCUGCUAAAAUGGAAUGACUACUUACUAGUAGUUGUAUAAGAUUUUUCCCUCGAUUUUUGUUCCUUAAACGUGGGUAAUACCUAACCCUAGAGUGGUUAUGGGGAUCGAGCCCGAGGGGCUGUGCUUGACUGCUUGGCGCAGUCACUACUCAAAUGUUAGCUUUUCUUUAAAAACAACAACAAAAAUCUGUUAUGAGUACCCUGUCCAGUUCUGUGCUCGGCGACGACCGAAUCAGACCACGUCCCUCACAGGCCCCACGGUCCACUGGGGAGAGACAUAAUCACAGGCUGUGCUAAGUGUUAACUAGCGCACAUCCACAGGGCGAUGGGAUAUGACCAUAGCGAGGUAAAGUUAGCAAGCAAGGGAAGUCAAGAAAACGACCUGUGAGCAACCUGCCAUUCCAGAUGGCUGGAAAAGUGUGCAAAGAGGACAGAACAGCAAAGACAAAUCCUGAAAGUAGAAGGAAUAAAAGGGAGCCAGUGUGGGCGGAGUCGAGUGAAGGUAGAGAGGAGAAAUAGACACAGCUGUAGGAGGUUAGAGACGGAGUCCCUACUUCUGUUUCGGAUGUUGACUAAACAAUGUAGAUAGAUAUUGAUGUCAUAGCCUGGAGAGAGAAAUUCGGGAGUCAUCAGUGUUUGAAUGGAGACUGGAUGAGCUCACAAAGAGACUGGGACACUCAUCCCUUUAGCAGUCACGACAAUGAGAAGCAACCAGCAAAGGACACGGAGGAGUGGCCAGUGAAAUGGCAGAAGAACCCGUAGGCCUGUCCAUGUUUUCCUGCCCAGGGGCUCCCGAGGGCUGACUGGAGCCCAGCCUUAAACCCCAAAUCCAACCUGCAUUGUGGCCAAACGGAGUCAGUGCUCCCUGAACACAAACUGCAAGUUAGUUAUCAACAGGUACCUCCAAUGCCCUGUCAAUCACCCAUGUGAGGACAACCUGGCAGCAGGAAGGAGAAAAAACAGGAGCUGCUUUAAUCUCCCGGAAUCCUCACUUCUCCCCAUUCUUGUUGGUCCAAACCAUCAAGAUCUCUUGCCUGGGUGACGUCUCCUAACUCUUGCUGCCUUCUCUGUCACUACAAUAAUCAAAACCAUCCAAUGGCUUCCCAGUGCCUUUAGAAUUAAAUCCAAACUUGGUACUGUGGCCCCUGCUGCCGCCCCCCAAAAAAUCUCUCUCCCAUCCUUCCUGUUCUCUACCUGUUAAUGCCUUCCCAUCCCUCAGAACCCAUCAGGACACACGUGAGUUUGAAUGCCCUGAAUUGUAUAAGCAUGGAGAGCGGUAUACCAGGGUGUACUCCAGAGUGAGCAAAAUGGGAACUCAUGUCAGAAAGUGAAAUGAAAAUGUAGGCUGAAAUUCUAUCAGUAAUACUGCAACAAAACUCUCUGAAACCAUCUCACUUAACUCGGUCCACCAACUUGAAAGACACUUUCCUUUUCAUCUGUGAAGCCCACUGCUGGGGCUAGCAGGCUACUAUUAUGACUAAGCAAUUCCACUUCCAUCUCUCAAGCUGUUUACUUCCUGAAAGAGAAGCUGGAUGCCACAUUGCAACUGCAAGGUGCCCUGUGAAGAGGCCUGCAACGGCGAGAAAACAAGGGAGACCUCCAGCCAACAGCUAGGAACUGAGGCUCUCGGCCCCAUCACCUGUGAGGAACUGAAUCCUGCCAACAGGCAUGUGAGUGGGCUGGAAGUGGGCCCUCCUCACGGAGCCUUCCGAUGACUGCACAGCCCCAGCCACCAGCUCGACCGCAACCCCGAGAGCCUGGGAGCCAGCAGCUCAGCCAAGCCUGGAUUCUUGACCCCCAGCAACGGUUCGUAACGGAAAACAGCUGUUCACAAGCGUGGGUACUCCCAAACACAGAUAUUCAGGACAACUACUGGAGAUAGUUGUAGAAUCUCACCAUCUUCACACAGACUUGUAUUUAGGAACCAGCGCCGUAUUGCACUGUAGUUCAAUUACUAUUUAUGGUCUGCAUUCACACAAGAAACAUCUGCCAACAAAGGCAAACUGGACAAUGUCUGUUCCUUCUCAUGAGUCUGGAUUCCGAGAGCCUUUGGGGGAAUUUGGUCUUCAACCCCAGGACGUAGGUGAAUACAGUCCGGGCCACCUCUUUCAUUUCUGAAAGCCGACUGCAGCACAGGAAAGAGUAAAGGUUUUUUUUCCUUGCCGGUGGAUUCCCCAGGACCAAGCAUACACCAUCAUACAUUCAAGUAGCUGUUUGUGGACAUCCUUGCGGAGAAAUAUUCAGUGUUCAGAACGGUCAUAACCUUGACCAGAAGUCUUUGACUAACCUUCUCAGGGGAACCCACUGUGGCUUUUGCCUGAUUUAAAAUGAACCAAGUUGGUUAACUUGAACAGUUCAGAUUUCUUCCACAACCAAGUCACAGAGCUUCUGUGAAAUCUCUCAGGUCAAGUCACCAUCAACUCACUCGUGACUGAAGUCCAGGAGCGGAAGUGUCGAGAGCAUCGCGGUGUGUUCUGUUCAGUUGCUCAGAACAAGUCAACUCCUGAUGAUGGAUGCAACGACCCAACUUCCGUGUCCUUGCCAAAUGCUGUCGCCUUGGAUCAAGGUGUCCUGCCAAGUCCCCCUGUCAUGACGCUGUCUGUAGUUGUGCUUCGGAACUCUGGCCAGUCUAUGUGAAACUUUUCUCUCAAUAUAC